rnacentral:rRNA from 1 species
UACCUGCAGCUCGAGUGGUAACCGCUAUUAUUGGGCCUAAAGCGUCCGUAGCCGGUUUGGUAAAUAUCUGGGUAAAUCGUGAGGCUUAACUUCACGAAUUUCGGAUAGACUGCCAGACUUGGGAUCGGGGGAGGUCAGAGGUACUCCAGGGGUAGCGGUGAAAUGUUGUAAUCCUUGGAGGACCACCGGUAGCGAAGGCGUCUGACUAGAACGAGUCCGACGGUGAGGGACGAAGCCCUGGGGCGCAAACCGGAUUAGAUACCCGGGUAGUCCAGGGUGUAAACGAUGUGGGCUUUAUAUUGGAGGUCCCACGUGGCGUCCAGUGCAGAAGAGAAGUUGUUAAGCCCACCGCCUGGGAAGUACGGUCGCAAGGCUGAAACUUAAAGGAAUUGGCGGGGGAGCACAGCAACGGGAGGAGCGUGCGGUUU